GCCCCGGUAGCUCAGCCGGAUAGAGCAUCCGCCUCCUAAGCGGGGGGUCGCAGGUUCGACUCCUGCUCGGGGCGCCA
rnacentral:tRNA from 4 species